CUCAGGAUGAACGCUGGCGGCGUGCUUAACACAUGCAAGUCGAACGGUGAAGCCAAGCUUGCUUGGUGGAUCAGUGGCGAACGGGUGAGUAACACGUGAGCAACCUGCCCUGGACUCUGGGAUAAGCGCUGGAAACGGCGUCUAAUACUGGAUAUGAGCUCUCAUCGCAUGGUGGGGGUUGGAAAGAUUUUUCGGUCUGGGAUGGGCUCGCGGCCUAUCAGCUUGUUGGUGAGGUAAUGGCUCACCAAGGCGUCGACGGGUAGCCGGCCUGAGAGGGUGACCGGCCACACUGGGACUGAGACACGGCCCAGACUCCUACGGGAGGCAGCAGUGGGGAAUAUUGCACAAUGGGCGGAAGCCUGAUGCAGCAACGCCGCGUGAGGGAUGACGGCCUUCGGGUUGUAAACCUCUUUUAGCAGGGAAGAAGCGAGAGUGACGGUACCUGCAGAAAAAGCGCCGGCUAACUACGUGCCAGCAGCCGCGGUAAUACGUAGGGCGCAAGCGUUAUCCGGAAUUAUUGGGCGUAAAGAGCUCGUAGGCGGUUUGUCGCGUCUGCUGUGAAAUCCCGAGGCUCAACCUCGGGCCUGCAGUGGGUACGGGCAGACUAGAGUGCGGUAGGGGAGAUUGGAAUUCCUGGUGUAGCGGUGGAAUGCGCAGAUAUCAGGAGGAACACCGAUGGCGAAGGCAGAUCUCUGGGCCGUAACUGACGCUGAGGAGCGAAAGGGUGGGGAGCAAACAGGCUUAGAUACCCUGGUAGUCCACCCCGUAAACGUUGGGAACUAGUUGUGGGGACCAUUCCACGGUUUCCGUGACGCAGCUAACGCAUUAAGUUCCCCGCCUGGGGAGUACGGCCGCAAGGCUAAAACUCAAAGGAAUUGACGGGGACCCGCACAAGCGGCGGAGCAUGCGGAUUAAUUCGAUGCAACGCGAAGAACCUUACCAAGGCUUGACAUACACCAGAACACCGUAGAAAUACGGGACUCUUUGGACACUGGUGAACAGGUGGUGCAUGGUUGUCGUCAGCUCGUGUCGUGAGAUGUUGGGUUAAGUCCCGCAACGAGCGCAACCCUCGUUCUAUGUUGCCAGCACGUAAUGGUGGGAACUCAUGGGAUACUGCCGGGGUCAACUCGGAGGAAGGUGGGGAUGACGUCAAAUCAUCAUGCCCCUUAUGUCUUGGGCUUCACGCAUGCUACAAUGGCCGGUACAAAGGGCUGCAAUACCGUGAGGUGGAGCGAAUCCCAAAAAGCCGGUCCCAGUUCGGAUUGAGGUCUGCAACUCGACCUCAUGAAGUCGGAGUCGCUAGUAAUCGCAGAUCAGCAACGCUGCGGUGAAUACGUUCCCGGGUCUUGUACACACCGCCCGUCAAGUCAUGAAAGUCGGUAACACCUGAAGCCGGUGGCCCAACCCUUGUGGAGGGAGCCGUCGAAGGUGGGAUCGGUAAUUAGGACUAAGUCGUAACAAGGUAGCCGUACCGGAAGGUGCG
rnacentral:rRNA from 1 species